rnacentral:lncRNA from 1 species
AGCAGGGGAAGCUGCUGUAGGGGUAGGCGUGGAGCAAGCUUUCUUGGCUGUGAACCCCUCUGGUUUGGUCAGAGGGAUGGGAUUUGUGGGGCUACAGGUAGCAAGGAUUACGGUGGUCUGUGGACUGUGCUGUAAGGAGCUCUGUGGGCAAGAAGGGCUGAGAGCUGGGAGGGCAUGUGGUGUCUCGCAGAGCACUCAUUUCCUCAGCCUCACCUACAGCAGGGUCUGUUUUAACUGAGUCUUUGAGGGUCUGAUAAAACGAGUUCCCACGCCCCAAACAAGGAUCCUGUGGCUUUGGGGUAUGCAGAGGGCUGCAGGCCAUGUUUCACGUGCAGACAACUGUUACCACGUGCCAUUUUUCUUUUCUUUCCUUUUUUUCUAUAACGAAUGGGGUCCCCACAUCUGGUUGUGGCAGUUAAACAGGCUCGAUUUAAUCAGAGACUGAUACAGUAUGCAGAGAGAAAAGAGGGGAGUGGGGUGAAAAGCACAGAGCACCUGCUUAUCCCCGGGCAGCGUGCCCUGUUCUGGUCCAUUGUGCAGGGGAAGGCAGGUUGCCCAGAUCCUGCCUGCUGGGAAGUCCUGUGCUUGGGGCCUUUAGCAAGGUUUUCUGCAUGUUCCAUCCGGGUAGGGUGGGAACAGCGCAGGGGUGUUGCAAAGGGGCUAGGGCUAGCUGGAAGGGUUUAGUUAAUUUGCCGUACAGCAGCUUUUGCAGCAGCACAGUGCAUGUGUUGAGGGGUAGAGACAAAUCAGAUGACUUCCAGGAAGCAGGAAGUCUAUUCCCUGAGAGUAGGUGUUCCCUAACUAUGCAUUAGAGACUGCCUUUCACCUGCUGCUUAAAUUUGUUGGAAAACAUGUAA